CAUGCAAGUCGAACGGCAGCGCGGGGAGCUUGCCCCUUGGCGGCGAGUGGCGGACGGGUGAGUAAUGCAUAGGAAUCUGCCCAGUAGCGGGGGACAACCUGGUGAAAACCAGGCUAAUACCGCAUACGCCCUACGGGGGAAAGCAGGGGAUCUUCGGACCUUGCACUAUUGGAUGAGCCUAUGUCUGAUUAGCUUGUUGGUGGGGUAAAAGCCUACCAAGGCGACGAUCAGUAGCUGGUCUGAGAGGACGAUCAGCCACACUGGGACUGAGACACGGCCCAGACUCCUACGGGAGGCAGCAGUGGGGAAUAUUGCACAAUGGGCGCAAGCCUGAUGCAGCAAUGCCGCGUGUGUGAAGAAGGCCUGCGGGUUGUAAAGCACUUUCAGAAAGGAAGAAAAGCUGAGUAUUAAUACUACUCGGUCUUGACAUUAUAUUCAGAAGAAGCACCGGCUAACUCCGUGCCAGCAGCCGCGGUAAUACGGAGGGUGCGAGCGUUAAUCGGAAUUACUGGGCGUAAAGCGCGCGUAGGCGGUCAGAUAAGUCGGAUGUGAAAUCCCCGGGCUCAACUCGGGAAUGGCACUCGAUACUGUCUGACUAGA
rnacentral:rRNA from 1 species